rnacentral:lncRNA from 1 species
UGGUAUCAGAGCAAGUUAAGAGCAAGUAAAGAGAGAGAGUCUAGGAUUGACCUAGAGGACCUUAGGUUAGGAAAGUAAGGUUAUAGGUGGUGAGUAGAACGUGGCCCUAUACGGUGGCGGGAGUUGAUCGAUUGGGUCGAAGUGAUUGUAUGUCUCUAGUCGUGGCUAGAGAUGGAUUCAAGUGGUAUGAGUUCUUGGCUCGAAGUGGUAGUGUUGGGCGGCCGACAACAACGACGCGAGAGUCUAGAAUCAGUACACUUAUUGCUUCCGCCUAGUUUGCGACGUUGAGUCGCGUAGUUGUGAUCGCGAGCGAGUUGGUGGGUUAAGUUAAUUAACCCGGUUGUUGCGUUGCAGGAACUAAUGUCCCCAAGAUGCUACACGCGCAGAUCUAUUCCGGCACCGUCUUCGGAGGCGCCAGAGCAGGCUGGACCUCCCGAGGCGCCAGAGUUAGCUGGGCCUAGUGAGGUGCAGGAGUUACGGGCACAAGUGACCGCAUUGACCAAUGUGGUGCAGUGCCAGGAGACCCGAUUCGAGCGGCUCCAGGAGCUCUUGGAGCGGCAAAUGGCAACGGUGGCUGCGAUGGCGACUGGAGGUCGUGACCCGCCCGCACCCCCGGUGCACGCGCCUGUUGUGGCUGAGGGUGAUGGUGUAGUGCCUGUUGGAGCAGGUAGAGAGCUAGAUAGCACUAGCAAAAUACUGGUGAUGAUUGUUGGACGAGAAGUGAGACUCGUGGUAGGGCGAUCGGUUAGUGUUCGAGCAUGAGCACGUAGGCCUAGUAGUACCUCGAAGUGAGGUGGGUGAGUCGUGCUCGUGUGGCCGGUGCGCAUAGGCAGGGUUGCCUAAUGUCGGAAUUAGUGUACGACGCGUAGAGCGCUCGAAUAUAGGUACUCGUGAAGUACGAUGUUGACUCAGCCGGGAGAGUGUGUAGGCAGUAGCACUGUAGCAUUACUAAGUGUGAAGCGUGCCUGGGAUCACUCAUAGGGCUGAUGGCUCGCAUUAGGUGCUUAGGAGCCAAUAGUGAUAUGUGUUGCUCGGGUGAGCAUGUCGUGGGAGACAACGGUUGCGGGUAUAGCUUGAGGAUGAUCCAUGCCCGGACCAUUCGUGGACUAUGGAACCUGGGUCCCUAUGAACAGGCGCAGUCAGCUGUGGGUGGCAGCGGCCCGGGGUAGGGCAGAGAUUUGGUCAGGACGGUAGUCCGAGCUUAGACCCGAAAGCGUGGAAUGCCACGUGUUAGAUCGUGUAAUCAUGGAUGCACUAAGAGUGCAAUGGUGACCCAACCCGAGGAUUUAGAGUGGUUUGGGGUCUUGAUUGCUCCUGGUUGGAGUAUGUGCGAAUUCCCAAAUGAGAAGUUCGCCUGGUUAUGAUGGGGUCUGCGCUUGCGAGCGAGAGACGCUACGUGUUGAGAUAGGUUUAGGCGGUAGACCUGCGUAGAAUUGGUGAACUGUGGUUCGUCUAUGAGAUUGAGAUAAACGGUAGGCGAGUAGCCUUGUCGACGAGUUUAGGCUUGGAUUCACGAACAGGAGUUCGUGUGAGGUUAUAACAAGAGUGGUUCUUCCCACGGUGGUAAUGCACUUUUGGAGUUACACUUAGCAAAUGUGAGUGAAUUUGGUCUCACAUCCUCCGUAGUGGGCCUUGGAUGAUUUCAAUGAAUGAAAGCCCACUCUAAGAAGGAAAAGUGCAUUGGAAUCCCCGAUUGCUCGAUAAAUCGAGUUGGAAUGUGAUUGGGGUUGAAAUUUGGUUAGUUUCGAGGACGAAACUCUUUUUAAGAAGGAGAGGAUGUAAGGUACCGAACUUCUAAAAUUAUGAAGUUACGGCGGAUGUAGUAUGCUGGAUUUUUAAUAUAAAAAUAAAUAUAAAUAAAAAUAGUGUGAGAUACUAUUUUUAUUGGAUUUAAGGGUGUAAAGUAUAAGUUGGAAAUGACCUGUGCUGAAAUCGGGGCGAAAACAAAAGAUUUAGAAUUUUCUGUGACAGACGGGGCAGAUAAAUUAGCAGAAAAUGCAGAGUGUCAGAAAAUUAUGAAAACUGGAGGAUAUGUCAGAAUUAUUUUUAUAAGGCUAGAUUUAAAGUUUCAUACCAUUCUGACACCCGGAAAAUGGAAAAUAAAAUCCGACUGCUAUCUGAUAAAGAUUACAGUUCGGUACAGCUUUCGGUGACAAACAUAGUCGAAACUGAAAGAUUAAAAUUUACAGGUACACACGAGAGCGGACCGGCAGGUGAUCGCGGUAAGGGCGUAGCGCCCUAGCUAGCUAGUUGUGGCUUUCCUUUUGUACUAGAGUACCCUCGUGUACAUAGGUGACAUGGUUGUGUUUUGGAGAGUACAUUGUACCUAGAUGCAUGUGAGUGGAAUAUGUAUUCAUUUUGGGUGAUGAUGAAAAUGUAAAUGUAAUCAAAGAUGUAAAAGUGGAAUGUGAUGUAAUAGCUAGAUGUAUCUCUCUUUAUGCACUUGUAUGUAUACUUGUGUUACUUGCUCUUGUUGUAUUGCACUCUUUGUGCUUCUCUCCUUGUUGGAUCAUGUAUGUAUUGAAUUAUCCCUGGGCAAAUUCUUUGUACAUGAUCCUGUGUUGAGCCUUGGGCGGAUAGGGGAGGUGCUGUCCGUUCGGCGUCCGUCCGGCGCGCCUGAACCGGACCAAAUUGGUAGCGGUCUCGGGGCGGGGCGUGACAGGUAUGGUAUCAGAGCAAGUUAAGUGCAAGUAAAUAGAGAGAGUCUAGGAUUGACCUAGAGGACCUUAGGUUGGGAAACCGUAAGGUUAUAGGUGCGUGAGUGGAACGUGGACCUAUACGGUGGCGGGAGUUGAUCGAUUGGGUCGAAGUGAUUGUAUGUCUCUAGUCGUGGCUAGAGAUGGAUUCAAGUGGUAUGAGUUCUUGGCUCGAAGUGGUAGUGUUGGGCGGCCGACAACACGACGCCGAGAGUCUAGAAUUAGUACACUUACGUGCUUCCGCCUAGUUUGCGACGUUGAGUCGCGUAGUUGUGAUCGCGAGCGAGUUGGUGGGUUAAGUUAAUUAACCCGGUUGUUGCGUUGCAGGAACUAAUGUCCCC